rnacentral:rRNA from 1 species
GACGAACGCUGGCGGCGUGCUUAACACAUGCAAGUCGAACGGAAAGGCCCUGCUUUUGUGGGGUGCUCGAGUGGCGAACGGGUGAGUAACACGUGAGUAACCUGCCCUUGACUUUGGGAUAACUUCAGGAAACUGGGGCGAAUACCGGAUAGGAGCUCCUGCUGCAUGGUGGGGGUUGGAAAGUUUCGGCGGUUGGGGAUGGACUCGCGGCUUAUCAGCUUGUUGGUGGGGUAGUGGCUUACCAAGGCUUUGACGGGUAGCCGGCCUGAGAGGGUGACAGGACACAUUGGGACUGAGGUACGGCCCAGACUCCUACGGGAGGCAGCAGUGGGGAAUAUUGCACAAUGGGCGGAAGCCGGAUGCAGCAACGCCGCGUGCGGGAUGACGGCCUUCGGGUUGUAACCCGCUUUCGCCUGUGACGAAGCGUGAGUGACGGUAAUUGGUAAAGAAGCACCGGCUAACUACGUG